GGGGGCGAAUAGGGUUCGACGUUUCUACUGGACUCCAAAGCGCAUGCCAAGAUUAUAGUAACUCUUGUAAAACAUACUAUAAAAAAAUAGUUGCAAAUAACGACAACUACGCUUUAGCAGCUUAAUGCUAACCGAUGCCAGAAUUGACUAUGGUUUGAAGCAUCGGCUAAACACAUAGUCUAGCCAGGCUGUAUUGCUUGGAUACAGUUUGGUUAAAUUUAAUCAAGCUCGCAUUCAUGCCCUGCUCUUCGGGUGAUGGAUGCUAAAAAUAAUAGAAUGAGCUAUGCAUGUAGAAGUUAGGCUGAAGGAUUGACGGACGCGGGUUCAAUUCCCGCCGCCUCCACCA
rfam:SAR86 cluster bacterium SAR86A genomic scaffold Contig_0, whole genome shotgun sequence.